GGAGAUGUAGCUCAGUGGUAUAGAGCUUGCUUAGCAUGCACAAGGCCCUGGAUUUGAUCUCCAGCAUCACAA
rnacentral:tRNA from 1 species